UUUUAUGAGAGUUUGAUCCUGGCUCAGGACGAACGCUGGCGGCGUGCCUAAUACAUGCAAGUCGUACGCUUCUUUUUCCACCGGAGCUUGCUCCACCGGAAAAAGAAGAGUGGCGAACGGGUGAGUAACACGUGGGUAACCUGCCCAUCAGAAGGGGAUAACACUUGGAAACAGGUGCUAAUACCGUAUAACAAUCGAAACCGCAUGGUUUUGAUUUGAAAGGCGCUUUCGGGUGUCGCUGAUGGAUGGACCCGCGGUGCAUUAGCUAGUUGGUGAGGUAACGGCUCACCAAGGCCACGAUGCAUAGCCGACCUGAGAGGGUGAUCGGCCACAUUGGGACUGAGACACGGCCCAAACUCCUACGGGAGGCAGCAGUAGGGAAUCUUCGGCAAUGGACGAAAGUCUGACCGAGCAACGCCGCGUGAGUGAAGAAGGUUUUCGGAUCGUAAAACUCUGUUGUUAGAGAAGAACAAGGAUGAGAGUAACUGUUCAUCCCUUGACGGUAUCUAACCAGAAAGCCACGGCUAACUACGUGCCAGCAGCCGCGGUAAUACGUAGGUGGCAAGCGUUGUCCGGAUUUAUUGGGCGUAAAGCGAGCGCAGGCGGUUUCUUAAGUCUGAUGUGAAAGCCCCCGGCUCAACCGGGGAGGGUCAUUGGAAACUGGGAGACUUGAGUGCAGAAGAGGAGAGUGGAAUUCCAUGUGUAGCGGUGAAAUGCGUAGAUAUAUGGAGGAACACCAGUGGCGAAGGCGGCUCUCUGGUCUGUAACUGACGCUGAGGCUCGAAAGCGUGGGGAGCAAACAGGAUUAGAUACCCUGGUAGUCCACGCCGUAAACGAUGAGUGCUAAGUGUUGGAGGGUUUCCGCCCUUCAGUGCUGCAGCUAACGCAUUAAGCACUCCGCCUGGGGAGUACGACCGCAAGGUUGAAACUCAAAGGAAUUGACGGGGGCCCGCACAAGCGGUGGAGCAUGUGGUUUAAUUCGAAGCAACGCGAAGAACCUUACCAGGUCUUGACAUCCUUUGACCACUCUAGAGAUAGAGCUUCCCCUUCGGGGGCAAAGUGACAGGUGGUGCAUGGUUGUCGUCAGCUCGUGUCGUGAGAUGUUGGGUUAAGUCCCGCAACGAGC
rnacentral:rRNA from 1 species